UUGCUUAGUAAUCUAUCAAGCCCAUGUUUUAAUUUCUAAAAUUGUUGAUGAUUUUGAGUUGUGCUAUUAAUGAAACUAUGAGUUUUAUGUAGUUUGAUGUUAGAAUAUGGAAGAUUGGUGUUGGGUUAACAAGUUUUGUUUUUGAAUUUUUAAUGAAUUUGAGUAAUUUGGGCUAAAUUAUAAAAAUGAGAUUUUAAGG
rnacentral:lncRNA from 1 species